rnacentral:rRNA from 1 species
GCCUAACACAUGCAAGUCGAGCGCCGUAGCAAUACGGAGCGGCAGACGGGAGAGUAACACGUGGGAACGUACCCUUUGGUUCGGAACAACCCAGGGAAACUUGGGCUAAUACCGGAUAAGCCCUUACGGGGAAAGAUUUAUCGCCGAAGGAUCGGCCCGCGUCUGAUUAGCUAGUUGGUGGGGUAAUGGCCCACCAAGGCGACGAUCAGUAGCUGGUCUGAGAGGAUGAUCAGCCUCACUGGGACUGAGACACGGCCCAGACUCCUACGGGAGGCAGCAGUGGGGAAUAUUGGACAAUGGGCGCAAGCCUGAUCCAGCCAUGCCGCGUGGGUGAUGAAGGCCUUAGGGUUGUAAAGCCCUUUCGGCGGGGAAGAUAAUGACGGUACCCGCAGAAGAAGCCCCGGCUAACUUCGUGCCAGCAGCCGCGGUAAUAC